rnacentral:lncRNA from 1 species
CAUAGUGGAGCGUUCGUUGGAUCUCCAACGAGUCUGUGAUGAUAAUGAAUCUUGGCGCGAGGAACGAUGAGUGAAAGCGAUUUGAUUGUGAAAAGGUGAGAUCCUUCUUCCGCCUUUUUCUCUAUAUUCUUCUUCUAUUCUACUUCUGAUGAGCUUCUGUUAUUGAUAAGCUUUUGUUACUGAUAAGCUUAUGUUAUCUGAUACUAUCUGAUACACUUCUGUUAUUGUUUUUGCUUCCUUUCUUAUAUGAUGGAACCGAGAGGAAGAAACAGAAAUCUCCCUCUGAUGGAAUGAAAAAGAAGAAACAGAAAAAUCUACCCUUGAUUAGAGUGAAGGAAUUAAGUUAUAAAGUGGAGAAAAAAUGCAGAAAAAUAGAAGAAGAGAAAAAUGCAGAAAUAAAAAAUCCCCUUGAUCUGUAGUAAGGUACAUUUUUAUAGCCAAAACUGUUAGAAAUGAAACUCAAAUUAUAGUGAAAUGUAAAUGCAUAUUCAGGUUGGUUAGAAAUUAAAGAGUUGGUUAUAAAUUCAAAUGAAAUGAAAUUAUGCAAUUCAAGUUAGUUAGAAAUUCAUGGAAAUGCAAAUGAAAUUCGGUUAGUUUCCAAAUUAUGUUUCUGUUGGUUAGUCCUUGUUAGAAGUUAGUUCUAUUGAAUUUUUUUUAAGGGUUUAUAGUUAACUGAAAUCAUGUUAACUAUGAAAUUAGUUAUGGUUAGUUUUAGAUUCAGUUAAGAUGAAAUUUUUUAAAAUAAAAAGGGUGACAUUUUCCCUGUUGUGCAGUUCUGCCUAGGAGUGGCAAAACAGGCCCGGCCCUCUGGACAUUCCUGUUUUACCCGAACUUUAGUGCGGGGAGGGCCAAGGAUUUAGGCCCUCACCCUAUAAUGUGUCCGCCCCGCCCCGUUUUUUUCGCGGGCUUUUGCUGACACGUGCAUUUACAUAAUUUUUUACAUUUUUAGACCUAAAUCGUGCAGUGCCCGCGGGUAUUCCCCGCCCCACCCUCACUUUUUUGUAGGGAUGGCAUAAGUUUUAGGCCCACAUCCUCAACUAUAACCGCCCCACUCCGUCCCCUUUUUUUGCGGGCUUUUGCGGGGCGGACAUGCCCGUUUGCCACCCCUAGUUCUGCUCAUUGCUUUGCUAGGUUGUAAAGUUUGUGAAUUUUCUGUAAUGUUCUAUUUUAAGGUUCCUAUUUCCCUUCUCACUAUUAUGACCAUAUUGGCAAUCUCUUCAAUUCAUUGCAGAAUUCUGUGAUUCGAUCCAAAAUAGGCCGUCUCGAAAACAAAUUCUUCACGGACAGAGUUGAUUCCAAUGAAGCCACUACCGUGUUGAUUUCUCUUGUAAUUUAUGACUCAAAUUGGUAUGUAUUUAUGUUGCUAAAUCCAUGGCCUUGCUUGUUGUUAGGUGCUUGUUGGUUAUGAGUGAAUGCUUGAUGUUUUGGAAUUGGUUGGAUUUGUACUUGAAAUGUUAUGCUAUGGAUUGUCAAUGUAAUGCUUUAUCCCGUGUUUAUGAAGGUUGGUGUUGCAAGUGACUUAUGAGGGGGGAUGCUUUGAAUUGGCUAGCUUUGGAAUUGAAAUAUUGUAAUGUCAUGGUUUUGCUUUAGUCAUGGAAUUUUACACCGGUUUAGCUUGUGAUCCUUGUAAAUUUGAAAUUGUAAUGGUUUAUGGUUACGAAAGUUGUAUGUUUAAAAAUGGUUGUAACAUGAAUUUAUGAUUUAUGGAAAUGUAAUAUAAUUUGGAUGGUUGAAUUGAUUGGUUUUUAUGGUUCAUGUGUUGGAAAUUGAAUGGGAUUAUGAUUGGAAUCAUUAGCUUGAAUGGUCAUAAAUGAUUUAAAGAU